rnacentral:rRNA from 1 species
GAUGAACGCUAGCUACAGGCUUAACACAUGCAAGUCGAGGGGAAACGAUAGAGAAAGCUUGCUUUUUCUAGGCGUCGACCGGCGCACGGGUGAGUAACGCGUAUCCAACCUGCCCAUCACUUGGGGAUAACCUUGCGAAAGUAAGACUAAUACCCAAUGACGUCUCUAGAAGACAUCUGAAAGAGAUUAAAGAUUUAUCGGUGAUGGAUGGGGAUGCGUCUGAUUAGCUUGUUGGCGGGGUAACGGCCCACCAAGGCGACGAUCAGUAGGGGUUCUGAGAGGAAGGUCCCCCACAUUGGAACUGAGACACGGUCCAAAACUCCUACGGGAGGCAGCAGUGAGGAAUAUUGGUCAAUGGACGAGAGUCUGAACCAGCCAAGUAGCGUGCAGGAUGACGGCCCUAUGGGUUGUAAACUGCUUUUAUAAGGGAAUAAAGUGAGUCUCGUGAGACUUUUUGCAUGUACCUUAUGAAUAAGGACCGGCUAAUUCCGUGCCAGCAGCCG